rnacentral:tmRNA from 1 species
CUCCGAGCUAGGCGCCGGCCGCUGCCGUUCGCGGGCCGGCGGGCGCCGAAACCCCAACCGCGAGCUACGCUCGUAGAAGGCCUGCCCAGAGAUCGGAGGACCCGGGUUCGAUUCCCGGCAGCUCCACCG